ACAUGCAGUCGAGGGGCAGCAUCAUCAAAGCUUGCUUUGAUGGAUGGCGACCGGCGCACGGGUGAGUAACACGUAUCCAACCUGCCGACAACACUGGGAUAGCCUUUCGAAAGAAAGAUUAAUACCGGAUGGCAUAAUUAUUCCGCAUGGGAUAAUUAUUAAAGAAUUUCGGUUGUCGAUGGGGAUGCGUUCCAUUAGGCAGUUGGCGGGGUAACGGCCCACCAAACCUACGAUGGAUAGGGGUUCUGAGAGGAAGGUCCCCCACAUUGGAACUGAGACACGGUCCAAACUCCUACGGGAGGCAGCAGUGAGGAAUAUUGGUCAAUGGACGAGAGUCUGAACCAGCCAAGUAGCGUGAAGGAUGACUGCCCUAUGGGUUGUAAACUUCUUUUAUACGGGAAUAAAGUGAGCCACGUGUGGCUUUUUGUAUGUACCGUAUGAAUAAGGAUCGGCUAACUCCGUGCCAGCAGCCGCGGUAAUACGGAGGAUUCGAGCGUUAUCCGGAUUUAUUGGGUUUAAAGGGAGCGUAGGCGGGUUGUUAAGUCAGUUGUGAAAGUUUGCGGCUCAACCGUAAAAUUGCAGUUGAUACUGGCGACCUUGAGUGCAACAGAGGUAGGCGGAAUUCGUGGUGUAGCGGUGAAAUGCUUAGAUAUCACGAAGAACUCCGAUUGCGAAGGCAGCUUACUGGAUUGUAACUGACGCUGAUGCUCGAAAGUGUGGGUAUCAAACAGGAUUAGAUACCCUGGUAGUCCACACAGUAAAUGAUGAAUACUCGCUGUUGGCGAUAUACAGUCAGCGGCCAAGCGAAAGCAUUAAGUAUUCCACCUGGGGAGUACGCCGGCACGGUGAAACUCAGAGGAAUUGACGGGGGCCCGCACAAGCGGAGGAACAUGUGGUU
rnacentral:rRNA from 1 species